rnacentral:rRNA from 1 species
GUAGGGAAUAUUGCGCAAUGGACGAAAGUCUGACGCAGCGACGCCGCGUGAGUGAUGAAGGCCUUAGGGUCGUAAAGCUCUGUUGAAUGGGAAGAAAAAAAUGACGGUACCAUUCGAGGAAGGACCGGCUAACUUCGUGCCAGCAGCCGCGGUAAUACGAGGGGUCCUAGCGUUGUUCGGAAUCAUUGGGCGUAAAGGGUGUGUAGGUGGCCAUGUAAGUCAGGUGUGAAAGCCCCGGGCUCAACCCGGGAAGUGCACUUGAUACUGCGUGGCUUGAGUACCGAAGAGGGUAGUGGAAUUCCAGGUGUAGCGGUGAAAUACGUAGAUAUCUGGAGGAACACCGGUGGCGAAGGCGGCUACCUGGUCGAGUACUGACACUGAGACACGAAAGCAUGGGGAUCAAACAGGAUUAGAAACCCCUGUAGUCC